GGCGUAUAUAAAAAAAUUCGUCCUGGUAUCUAUGAUGAGUUUAUUUACAAACACUGGGUCGAUGCCACUGCUGGUGGAGAUUUAUUUCCCCGAGGGUAUCACCAGCCCAAUAGUCAGCACUUUUUGUGCUGACAUGAAUUAUCAUUGAUAUGGUUAUAUUUAUAAAUUAACUGUUUACAAAUUUUUGAAUUUUUUAAAUACUAAGGCUUUUCUACCUCAGGCAUAAAUUACCUUAGCUGGAUUUGGCAA
rnacentral:lncRNA from 1 species